UACGGGGGGGGCAAGCGUUGUUCGGAAUUACUGGGCGUAAAGGGCUCGUAGGCGGCCUGCUAAGUCAUACGUGAAAUCCCUCGGCUCAACCGAGGAACUGCGUCUGAUACUGGUUGGCUUGAAUUCGGGAGAGGGAUGCGGAAUUCCAGGUGUAGCGGUGAAAUGCGUAGAUAUCUGGAGGAACACCGGUGGCGAAGGCGGCAUCCUGGACCGAGAUUGACGCUGAUGCGCGAAAGCCAGGGGAGCAAACGGG
rnacentral:rRNA from 1 species